CAAGGAAUUUUGCGCAAUGGGCGAAAGCCUGACGCAGCAACGCCGCGUGGGGGAAGAAGGCCUUCGGGUUGUAAACCCCUUUUGCGAGGGAAGAAGAUCUGACGGUACCUCGCGAAUAAGCCACGGCUAACUACGUGCCAGCAGCCGCGGUAAUACGUAGGUGGCGAGCGUUGUCCGGAUUUACUGGGCGUAAAGCGCGCGCAGGCGGGCUGGUCAGUCCGGGGUGAAAUCUCACGGCUCAACCGUGAGCGGUCCCCGGAUACUGCCAGUCUUGAGGUGUCUAGAGGAGAGCGGAAUUCCCGGUGUAGUGGUGGAAUGCGUAGAUAUCGGGAAGAACACCAGUGGCGAAAGCGGCUCUCUGGGGGACCACCUGACGCUGAGGCGCGAAAGCGUGGGGAGCGAACCGGAUUAGAUACCCGGGUAGUCCACGCCGUAAACGAUGAGCACUAGCUGUCGGGGGUAUCGACCCCUCGGUAGCGCAGCUAACGCGAUAAGUGCUCCGCCU
rnacentral:rRNA from 1 species